AGUGAACGCUGGCGGUAGGCCUAACACAUGCAAGUCGAACGGCAGCACAGUAAGAGCUUGCUCUUACGGGUGGCGAGUGGCGGACGGGUGAGGAAUACAUCGGAAUCUACUUUUUCGUGGGGGAUAACGUAGGGAAACUUACGCUAAUACCGCAUACGACCUACGGGUGAAAGCAGGGGAUCUUCGGACCUUGCGCGAUUGAAUGAGCCGAUGUCGGAUUAGCUAGUUGGCGGGGUAAAGGCCCAACAAGGCGACGAUCCGCAGCUGGUCUGAGAGGAUGAUCAGCCACACUGGAACUGAGACACGGUCCAGACUCCUACGGGAGGCAGCAGUGGGGAAUAUUGGACAAUGGGCGCAAGCCUGAUCCAGCCAUACCGCGUGGGUGAAGAAGGCCUUCGGGUUGUAAAGCCCUUUUGUUGGGAAAGAAAAGCAGCAGGUUAAUACCCCGCUGUUCUGACGGUACCCAAAGAAUAAGCACCGGCUAACUUCGUG
rnacentral:rRNA from 1 species